AACGAACGCUGGCGGCAGGCCUCAAACAUGCAAGUCUAGGGGUGUAGCAAUACAUCACCGGCGGACGGGUGCGUAACGCGUGGGAAUAUACCUAUCGAUUCGGUACAACUGAGGGAAACUUCAGCUAAUACCGAAUACGUCCUAACGGAGAAAGAUUUAUCGUCGAUAGAUUAGCCCGCGUUCGAUUAGCUAGUUGGUGGGGUAACGGCCCACCAAGGCGACGAUCGAUAGCUGUUCUGAGAGGAAGAUCAGCCACACUGGGACUGAGACACGGCCCAGACUCCUACGGGAGGCAGCAGUUGGGAAUCUUGGACAAUGGGGGGAAACCCUGAUCCAGCCAUGCCGCGUGAGUGAUGAAGGCCUUCGGGUUGGUAAAACUCUUUCGCGCACGACGAUAAUGACGGUAGUGCGAGAAGAAGCUCCGGCUAACUUCGUGCCAGCAGCCGC
rnacentral:rRNA from 1 species